GACGAACGCUGGCGGCGUGCCUAAUACAUGCAAGUAGAACGCUGAAGAGAGGAGCUUGCUCUUCUUGGAUGAGUUGCGAACGGGUGAGUAACGCGUAGGUAACCUGCCUUGUAGCGGGGGAUAACUAUUGGAAACGAUAGCUAAUACCGCAUAACAAUGGAUGACCCAUGUCAUUUAUUUGAAAGGGGCAAAUGCUCCACUACAAGAUGGACCUGCGUUGUAUUAGCUAGUAGGUGAGGUAACGGCUCACCUAUGCGACGAUACAUAGCCGACCUGAGAGGGUGAUCGGCCACACUGGGACUGAGACACGGCCCAGACUCCUACGGGAGGCAGCAGUAGGGAAUCUUCGGCAAUGGGGGCAACCCUGACCGAGCAACGCCGCGUGAGUGAAGAAGGUUUUCGGAUCGUAAAGCUCUGUUGUAAGUCAAGAACGAGUGUGAGAGUGGAAAGUUCACACUGUGACGGUAGCUUACCAGAAAGGGACGGCUAACUACGUGCCAGCAGCCGCGGUAAUACGUAGGUCCCGAGCGUUGUCCGGAUUUAUUGGGCGUAAAGCGAGCGCAGGCGGUUUGAUAAGUCUGAAGUUAAAGGCUGUGGCUCAACCAUAGUUCGCUUUGGAAACUGUCAAACUUGAGUGCAGAAGGGGAGAGUGGAAUUCCAUGUGUAGCGGUGAAAUGCGUAGAUAUAUGGAGGAACACCGGUGGCGAAAGCGGCUCUCUGGUCUGUAACUGACGCUGAGGCUCGAAAGCGUGGGGAGCGAACAGGAUUAGAUACCCUGGUAGUCCACGCCGUAAACGAUGAGUGCUAGGUGUUGGAUCCUUUCCGGGAUUCAGUGCCGCAGCUAACGCAUUAAGCACUCCGCCUGGGGAGUACGACCGCAAGGUUGAAACUCAAAGGAAUUGACGGGGGCCCGCACAAGCGGUGGAGCAUGUGGUUUAAUUCGAAGCAACGCGAAGAACCUUACCAGGUCUUGACAUCCCGAUGCUAUUUCUAGAGAUAGAAAGUUACUUCGGUACAUCGGUGACAGGUGGUGCAUGGUUGUCGUCAGCUCGUGUCGUGAGAUGUUGGGUUAAGUCCCGCAACGAGCGCAACCCCUAUUGUUAGUUGCCAUCACUCAGUUGGGCACUCUAGCGAGACUGCCGGUAAUAAACCGGAGGAAGGUGGGGAUGACGUCAAAUCAUCAUGCCCCUUAUGACCUGGGCUACACACGUGCUACAAUGGUUGGUACAACGAGUUGCGAGUCGGUGACGGCAAGCUAAUCUCUUAAAGCCAAUCUCAGUUCGGAUUGUAGGCUGCAACUCGCCUACAUGAAGUCGGAAUCGCUAGUAAUCGCGGAUCAGCACGCCGCGGUGAAUACGUUCCCGGGCCU
rnacentral:rRNA from 1 species